UCCUGAUGGCUCACAUGAAGUUUCGUGCCGUUCCGACCUCGUUUGAUACGGUUAUGGUUAACCACACGGCCCCUCGGGCCCGACCCGAGCCCAGUCAACAUUUUGACCCGAUCAAAUCGGCCCGUGACCCGAAACGACCCUACUUGGGCCCUACAACAGCCACGUAAAGUUUCGGGAUGAUCCGACGUUCUUUCAUGGGGUUACGGACAAUCCACGCCAAACAAGCGUCACGGGCCGACCGAGCCGGGCCAACGGGCCCUCGGGACCCGAAAACUGAAUUUUUUUUCAUCCAAACCCAUUAAAACACGUUACCGAGGUCUCACGCAAAAUUUCAUGCCAAUCCGACGUCGUUUGAUGGGGUUUUGAGAUAUUAUGAUUCCUCAAAAAUUUAAUGUCUGUUCCUGUCACUUAGCUUUUUGUGCAAAAUGUAUAUAUAGGGGAGGGGUGGGUGUUGAGCAGCCCAUGCCCGGGCAAGGCAUGCCAGCGCCCAAGCCAAAGGAGGCUGGUGGCGUGCGUAUAACAGCUCAAAUGCCCCAACGAUGACCGAGAACAAGCGCCCAUCUCCCCUCCUUCCCCCCCACCAAGCGCCCCUCCCCCCCCAUGUUGCCUGCCCACUCGCACAGCUACUCGUGAUUUCAUGCCCAGCGACUAGUGAAUGUGCCUCGACGACCAGCAAACCUCGAAAAUUAUGAUUCCUCGUAAAAUUAAUGUCUGUUCCUGUCACUUUACUUUUUGUGCAAAAUGUAUAUAUAGGGGAGACCAGGGGCUUGAGCAACCCCUGUGCCCAAGCAAGGGUCAGAUGGAAGCACACGAGACGCGAGGUUUAAAGCCUAUACAAGCAAGGCGUCUGUCUCCCCAAGCCCCAUUGCCUAUAAAACAAGCCCGAUGCCUUGUAAAUGCCCCACACGAUGCCUAUAAACGACAACGAUGUUUGCUAGUUAAUCGAUCGACGCCCCACACCUUGCAGCAUGUUGCCUAGUAAACAAGCCAUGCUGCCUUGGAAGCGCCCCACAUCAUGGCAUGUUGCCUAGCACGCUGCCCUUGUUUCCAGCACGGCGACCUGAAAGCGUGGCCUGACGACGUGCUUGCCUUCGAAAAUUAUGAUUCCUCAAAAAAUUAAUGUCUGUUCCUGUCACUUUACUUUUUGU
rnacentral:rRNA from 1 species